rnacentral:rRNA from 1 species
UAAGUUUGAUCCUGGCUCAGAUUGAACGCUGGCGGCAUGCCUAACACAUGCAAGUCGAACGCGAAAGUCAGCACUUCGGUGUGAGUAGAGCGGCGGACGGGUGAGUAACGCGUAGGAAUUUGCCCAGUAGAGGGGGACAACAUGUGGAAACGCAUGCUAAUACCGCAUACGCCCUAUGGGGGAAAGCAGGGGAGCUUCGGACCUUGCGCUAUUGGAGGGAUGAGCCUACGUCCGAUUAGCUUGUUGGUGGGGUAAAGGCCUACCAAGGCGACGAUCGGUAGCUGGUCUGAGAGGAUGAUCAGCCACACUGGGACUGAGACACGGCCCAGACUCCUACGGGAGGCAGCAGUGGGGAAUAUUGGACAAUGGGGGCAACCCUGAUCCAGCGAUGCCGCGUGUGUGAAGAAGGCCUGCGGGUUGUAAAGCCCUUUCAGUGGGGAAGAAAAGCAGCGGAUGAAUAAUCGGCUGUCUUGACGUUACCCACAGAAGAAGCACCGGCUAACUCCGUGCCAGCAGCCGCGGUAAUACGGAGGGUGCGAGCGUUAAUCGGAAUUACUGGGCGUAAAGCGCGCGUAGGCGGUUCGGUCAGUCGGAUGUGAAAGCCCCGGGCUCAACCUGGGAAUUGCAUUCGAUACUGCCGGGCUAGAGUAUGGUAGAGGGUAGUGGAAUUCCCGAUGUAGCGGUGAAAUGCGUAGAUAUCUUGAGGAACACCGGUGGCGAAAGCGGCACUCUGGCGCAAGACUGACGCUGAGGCUCGAAAGCGUGGGGAGCGAACGGGAUUAGAUACCCCGGUAGUCCACGCCGUAAACGUUGUGCACUAGGUGUAGGGGGUAUCGACCCCCCCUGUGCCGCAGCUAACGCAUUAAGUGCACCGCCUGGGGAGUACGGUCGCAAGACUGAAACUCAAAGGAAUUGACGGGGGCCCGCACAAGCGGUGGAGCAUGUGGUUUAAUUCGAGGCAACGCGAAGAACCUUACCCAGACUUGACAUCCCAGGACCGCUAUGGAAACAUAGUUUUCCCUUCGGGGACCAGGAGACAGGUGUUGCAUGGCUGUCGUCAGCUCGUGUCGUGAGAUGUUGGGUUAAGUCCCGCAACGAGCGCAACCCCUGUCCUUAGUUACCAGCACGUUAUGGUGGGCACUCUAAGGAGACUGCCGGUGAUAAGCCGGAGGAAGGUGGGGACGACGUCAAGUCAUCAUGGCCCUUACGUCUGGGGCUACACACGUGCUACAAUGGCCGGUACAAUGAGCCGCAAUACCGCGAGGUGGAGCCAAUCUCAAAAAGCCGGUCUCAGUUCGGAUUGGAGUCUGCAACUCGACUCCAUGAAGUUGGAAUCGCUAGUAAUCGCGUAUCAGCUACGACGCGGUGAAUACGUUCCCGGGCCUUGUACACACCGCCCGUCACAUGACCCGAGUCGGGUGCACCCGAAGUCACUGGCCCAACCCUCUGGGAGGGAGGUGCCUAAGGUGUGCUUGGUAAGGGGGAUGAAGUCGUAACAAGGUA